GUGUCAGCAGCCGCGGUAAUACAGAGGGUGCGAGCGUUGUUCGGAAUUAUUGGGCGUAAAGCGCUGGUAGGUGGCUUGUUAAGUCGCGUGUGAAAUCUCCAGGCUCAACCUGGAAAGUGCGCGCGAAACUGGCGGGCUUGAGUGCCGGAGAGGGUCGUGGAAUUCCCGGUGUAGAGGUGAAAUUCGUAGAUAUCGGGAGGAACACCAGAGGCGAAGGCGACGACCUGGAAGGUAACUGACACUGAGCAGCGAAAGCGUGGGGAGCAAACAGGAUUAGAUACCCUGGUAGUCCACGCCGUAAACGAUGGAUGCUAGCUGUGGCGGGUUUUGACCCCUGCCGUGGCGACGCUAACGCAAUAAGCAUCCCGCCUGGGAAGUACGGCCGCAAGGCUAAA
rnacentral:rRNA from 1 species